rnacentral:rRNA from 1 species
GAUGAACGCUGGCGGCGUGCCUAAUACAUGCAAGUCGAGCGAACAGACGAGGAGCUUGCUCCUUUGACGUUAGCGGCGGACGGGCGAGUAACACGUAGGUAACCUACCUAUAAGACUGGGAUAACUUCGGGAAACCGGAGCUAAUACCGGAUAAUAUUUCGAACCGCAUGGUUCGAUAGUGAAAGAUGGCUUUGCUAUCACUUAUAGAUGGACCUGCGCCGUAUUAGCUAGUUGGUAAGGUAACGGCUUACCAAGGCAACGAUCCGUAGCUGACCUGAGAGGGUGAUCGGCCACACUGGAACUGAGACACGGUCCAGACUCCUACGGGAGGCAGCAGUAGGGAAUCUUCCGCAAUGGGCGAAAGCCUGACGGAGCAACGCCGCGUGAGUGAUGAAGGUCUUCUGAUCGUAAAACUCUGUUAUUAGGGAAGAACAAACGUGUAAGUAACUGUGCACGUCUUGACGGUACCUAAUCAGAAAGCCACGGCUAACUACGUG